UGAAACUGCAAGCUCUAAGUCCUCGUAAAUCAAAGCCAUCUAAUAAGGGAAUGAAUGAAAAUGGUUUGAAGCAGAUGUGUUUUAAUGAUAAUGAAAAACCUGCUCAACAAGAAGUGGGGAUCGAUUACUUUGUUGAAAUAUUUGCUAAAAGCAAGGACGAUGAUGCUCAAACAAUUGUGAAGAAUAUACCUGAAGCAGAAAUUAUAGAUAGCUUUCCCGGGGAGGAGCAAAAAGAAGAUGUGGCAGAUGAAGUAUACCAACCUCUGGAUCAAGAAGCAGAUGAAGUAUACCAACCUUCUUUGGAUCAAGAACCUGCCAUGCGAAGUUGUUCGAGUGAGAGUGAAUCGGAUGGACUUUCAAGCAUUGAAGUGGAUUAUGCCAAUUCUGAAGCAACUGAGAUGGA
rnacentral:lncRNA from 1 species